CCCAAAGAUGGUGAACUAUGCCUGAGCAGGGCCAAAGCCAGAGGACACUCUGGUGGGGGUCCAUAGCGGUCCUGUUGUGCAAAUCCAUCAUCUGACCUGGGUAUGGAGCCAAAGACUAAACUGAACCUCUGCAAACUG
rnacentral:ncRNA from 1 species